AGUCAUGUGGCGGAUUGAAGCGCCGGAGGGCGCCGCUUCGACGCGCCUACAGAGGAGGGCGUCGUCAACCAUGGGGUGCCUCAGCCGCCUGCAUCGCGCGCUGGUGCUGCGCCGCUGGAGCGCUGUCGAGGCCGAGGGUCCUUGUGUCCUUGGGGCCGGAGGGAGUCGCCGCCACAGCCGUGUAUCAGGCCGAUGGUCAGGGACGGUAGUGCCGUCGAGUGCUUGGCCUAAUUGCUCUCUGGAAGAGGCGUGCGUGAUCUCUACUCCUAAUGGAGCAGUGGGUAGUCUCGCUUCCAGGUUUUUUUUCGUCCCACCUUCCAUGGCUUUUUUGGUACCUCGUCCCACCUCAUAUUGAGCUGCCACGAACCGCAAAAACCGCGUACCGAAGCCCCCACCCGCCCUCACGCAUUCCAGGGCCUAACCUCCGAUCGCACCCAAGACAAUUCAGCGAAAAAAACCUACGAAAAUUAACCAGCGAAAAAAAAACCUAAUGGAGGAGUUGGCAGUCUGGUACGGUUUAUUUUGAACAUUUUCCUAAUGACAAAAGAUCACGGAUCUAACUUUCCUACCUUAGCCAAAUCAACGAAUCUCUUUCAUUAAUGCAAUUUGCUUUAGGAAAUAAAUAAUAGAUUCUUUUCCACCUUAGCGAAAUUAACGGAUCUCUCCCAUUAAUGCAAUUUGCUUUAGCAAACAAAUAAUAGAUUAUUUCCUACCUUAGCCAAAUCAACAAAUCUCUCUCAUUAAUGCAAUUUUUUUUAGAAAACAAAUAAUAGAUUCUUUCCUACCUUAGCCAAAUCAACGCAUCUCUCCCAUUAAUGCAAUUUGCUUUAGCAAACAGAUAAUAGGUUCUUUCCUACCUUAGCCAAAUCAACGGAUCUCUUUCGUUAAUGAAUUUGCUUUAGGAAACAAAUAAUAUAUUUUUAGGAAACAAAUAAUCUCUAAUCUCAUCUCUAAUUCUCCAAUAAUAAUAAUUAAUAUAAUAUAAUAAUAAUAAUACCUAAAAGAAACGCAGCGUUCCGUUUCCCGUCUUACGUCGUCGAACCCUUCGUCGAGCCUCCCUCCCGUGCGCUGUUGGUUUUCCCUGCGUACGUUCCACCCCAAACGUGAUUCGUUCUUCUUAAUUACGUGGUCCCACCCCCAUGCGAUCCGGCCAAAGAACCAGCAAAACCGUCAUACCCAUGCACGCAAGGAACGAAAAAUCCAUGCAAGUUGUGUCUCCUCCUCCCUCUUCAAACCCUAGCCGCCCCUUCCCAGUUGACGCCGCUAGCGAGUAGCGCGUAGCACAGGCACCCGUGCGGCCCUUCUGUGGUCCCCCUUGACCUCGCAAUGAAACAGCUCGUCAGCAUCGACGACGAGCCGAUGCGUCUGCUGUUGAUUCCUGUGGAUGGGUCAAGCAGGACAGAGGGCGGUGGAUCCGGGACAUAGCCAUGAAGUCUGCUUCGAUGCGCUCCCAUUACUGUCUCAAGUGCAUGGGUCGAUCCUGGACGGUGGGUGAUGGAUCAAGGACGUACAUAGCAGCUUUCACCUACGCAAACGGCUGACUACUCAACCUCCUCUCGGCGGUGGCAGCGGCCAGGUCUGGUUAGCUACCAUUUAUCUUUAAUACAUGCCAUGAAAGGCGAUCAAGAGGAGCAAUCAUAAGCAGCGAGGUGUUCCAGGGCUACGAGCGCCAGUACUGCGACUCUGCGUCUACGAGGUCUUCGCCAAGAUCGCUACCCUCUCUUCCCGUGCCUAUUUCUAUUCGUUGUUGUUGGUUUUGUCUUACAUGGUGAGAUCUAAGCAGACAAUAUGAAGCAGAGGCUCUUUAAGAUCCAGUCCAACGUGCAGGAUACUGAAUCGCUGGUAAAUACUAGAUUGUGUUUUACGAUUUGAUCAUCCAUUCCGCUGCCUUACAUACUGCCUUUGGGACAUUUGGCAGGUGGAGGCUUCAUUUUGGAUGUAGGUGAAUGUGUGAUUUCUGGAAGCUCUGUAUAUUAACUUCAUGAUCUACUCUUGAUUUUCUUCUUGGGGACUAGAUUUGAAGAUUUGCCAGCUACACCAUCUAAAAAUCAGGCAGCUGAUCCGGGUACAUUGCUACUCGGAGACGUUGGUGCAUUCACACUUCUCAUGGAUCUUUGUAUUAGCCUGAUAGUGUUGGGAUCUCGAAAUUUUGCUGUAGGUGAAGAAGGGAUUCCUAUCUCGAAAUUCUGUUGUAGGUGAAGCGUCUCCUGUAGGCCAUGGAGAUGACCAGGGAUGCAUUGGGAGGCGGGCGACGUAAAGUGCUGGAAAGGAGUAUUGUAUUAUGUAUGGUCCUCCUUCGCUUUUUGGAAGGUUGUAUAGUCGUUUUGAUACACAAGAUAUAAUUUCAGGUUCUACAUACAUAUUGGUUUGAGAUGUUUUCAUUUUUUAUCAUGUCAAUGAAUAAUGCAAUCUGGAUUUGUUUUAUCAUGCCAAUUUGAGGCAUUCUGUAUGGGCUGGUUGGAGGAAUAUUAUUUUUUUACGCACUAUGUGUGAACAUGUUGAAGGAUCAUGACCAUCAACGAGCUUGUGGCAGAAGUUUGAAUGUGAGUAGCUCCUCUCUUUUGUGUACUUAUUUUCAGUCUAUUAAUCAAAGGAUAGAAUGAUUACACAUGCAGUUAUUUUGGUGUGAGCUUUGACAAGGGAUGCCAAUUGUUAUGUUGAAGAGGCUAAAAUCUUCCUCAGUAAGUGAUGUGCAUUAUGCAUCUGAUAAAAAAAUAGGCUUUAGGGAGUUGAUUGUGCCCAUGAGAGGUGGUCCUGAUAUUAGGCUUGCUAUAACAUGUCAUAUUUAACAUGUAAUUUUCUUUACCAACCAAAUGUUCACGUUUUAGAUUAUAAAGAAUGAUGACCUCAAAGACAAAGAGCUCCAAGAACUCGGUUCUGAAACUUUUGGUUAGUCUGAGUAAUGAAAUGUGACCCUACUGGAAGUUCUACCUCAUUGCAGUUCUUCUCUUUUCCGUUUAAUUAUCUAUUUCAUUCCAAGCUAACUGUCUUACAUACCUAUAUCUUUCAAUGCAAGACUACGCGAGGACUAUGGUCUAUGGGAUAUCAAGCUCCUUCAAAUAAUCUGCACCAGUUCUUCUGGAGAAUAAUGUGUAUGCAUGGUCUACAAUGGAGUUUACAAGUUCACUUACUCAAAGAUUCAGCCUAACAUUUUCCAUAAGGAUUAUGUAUGUUAUACAAACUCUCAGUAAUCUCUACUACUAAUGUCUUAGUUGGUAGUCUCGCCUCACUCCACCUCAUCCCACCACUCCUAUCUUUCGCCCAACUUUGACAUCAUCACAUCACAGCAUUGGGUUGGCCCAUUAACGUGUAUGUGAAAGCAAUCCUCCCAUCACCGGCCCUCCUCGCGAUAUUCCCGACGUCCUCGCGCUGCCGUCCUCUUCUUCCUGAUCUCCUCUACCAGCGUGCCUUCCUUGCGAUCCUCCCUACAUGUCCUCACGUCGCCGUCUUCUUCUCCCCAAACUCCUCUACCAGGGGGACUCCUCUAUGACCCAGGCGGAGCGAACAUUGUACGCAGGUUUUUUUGGCUUUCACCAGUUCGUUCUCUACCCCUCCUCCAUGACUCCCUCACCAUCGAUUUUUUUCGACGUCUAAAUGCAAUCCCUCCGUGGGGAAGUAUGAUGUGAAGGAGAGAGGCCGCGAUGGCGAAGGUGAGGUGGGCGUCAUCCCGUUUAAAAGGAGAGGGCUCCAGCAAGAAAUGUCUCACUACAGUGAAAACCGAGCGGAAGGGGAGGGUCCGACAGGAAAACAUAAGAGUGUGUCAUGGGGUGGAGUUUUUAUGUUGCUACACUAGAUCGCGGGAACCUGCCGUCGACCUUGAGGUUGGUGUAUGAGAGAGAAAUAAGCUUCAAUAUCAAUAAUUUGUCUGAUUCAUUUAUAUACAGUAUAGCCCGUAGCAAUGCGACAUUUUGCCGCCUCCAACAUGGGCCCCGCCCAUCCUCAACUUUCAUGUAUGAGAGAGAAAUAAGCUUCAAUAUCAAGCUCAGAUACACGUUGCAAAUUCAUUUUGCCGCCUCCAACAACGUGGCGAGUACGAGGCGUUCAUACAUGGGCUCCGGCUGGCCAAAGAACUCGGCAUCGGCCGGAUCCUGUGCUAUGGCGACUCGGACAUGGUGAUCCAACAAUCAUCUGGCGAUUAGGACGCCAAGGACACAAACAUGGCGAGCUACCGCUUCCUCGUUCAGCAACUCAGUGGAUACUUUGAAGGGUGCGAGUUUCUCCACGUGCCACGGGCCGACAACGAGCAAGCAGACGCCCUGGCAUGAAUCGGCUCCACCCGGCAAGCCGUACCAACCGGCGUCUCCCUCCAACGCAUCCUCAAGCCAUCUGUCAAGCCGUCUCCAGAAUCAGACUCCAUAUUCGUGCCGCCUGAUCCUGAUGCAGUCGGAUCCGACUUGGGGAACCCAGCAGGCGGCUCGGAGACUUCGGCAGGCGGCUCGGGGACUGCUGUAGUCACACCUAGCUCGGGGACUUCAGAACCCGGCCCGAGGACUGCAGCAGUUGGCCCGGGGACUACGACGACACAGCAGGCGGUGGAUGACUCCAACUCUUCACCACCCAACCCACCCCGCUGUUGGAAAUAUGCCCUAGAGGCAAUAAUAAAAGUAUUAUUAUAUUUCCUUGUUCAUGAUAAUUGUCUUUUAUUCAUGCUAUAACUGUAUUAUCCGGAAAUCGUAAUACACGUGUGAAUACAUAGACCACAAUCUGUCCCUAGUGAGCCUCUAGUUGACUAGCUCGUUGUGAUCAACAGAUAGUCAUGGUUUCCUGGCUAUGGACAUUUGAUGUCGUUGAUAACGGGAUCACAUCAUUAGGAGAAUGAUGAGAUGGACAAGACCCAAUCCUAAGCCUAGCACAAGAUCAUGUAGUUCGUAUGCUAAAGCUUUUCUAAUGUCAAGUAUCAUUUCCUUAGACCAUGAGAUUGUGCAACUCCCGGAUACCAUAGGAGUGCUUUGGGUGUGCCAAACGUCACAACGUAACUGGGUGGCUAUAAAGGUACACUACGGGUAUCUCUGAAAGUGUCUGUUGGGUUGGCACGAAUCGAGAUUGGGAUUUUGUCACUCCGUGUAAA
rnacentral:lncRNA from 1 species